ACAAAAAUAUCAUUAAAGUUGUUUUCUUCUCUUCACUUUUGCUUAGUAAAAUCCUUGCAACUGUCUUCACUUUUGCUUCGAAUCGGAACCGUAACAGUCUAUUUUUGUUGAAUUAAGCCCAGCGUACAGAGUGCUUUUCCAGGGCUUUUACAAGUAAUUUUUAAAAAGUCACUUAAUCACACAUGUGGCGAAGAAAACCAGCAGUUGAGGAAAAUGAAAUGCACUCCACCUUAGUUCCUCCUAAAAUAGCAAGCUCACUAUCCCCUUUCGUCCAAGCUAGAAAUCCAACAAAACACAAGCUCAUUAUCCCCUUUCGUUGAAGCUUGAAAUCCGGCCCGCCUGCUCAACUGUCGUCGCCGACCAACCAUCUUCUCCACCUCCAGCAUCAAUCGACGUGAGCUAUCUUGCACCCAUUUCGUAGAAUCAAGAAAUCCACAAAUUUGAACCGUAGCCGAAAUAUAUUCUCCGCCUCCAAGCCGUGACUUGUUGGUUAGUGCAUUAAGCUCAAUCUUUGUUAUAAAUACGCAUGGCUCAUUUGUCCAUUUUCAAUACUCAUGGCUGACAUAGAAAAAACAGCUUGAAUAUUAUAAAUCCUAAAGCUAGAAGGUAGACGAAGAAACAAAUCACAAAAUGAGAUUGCAAAGUCUAAGUGAUUUAUGUUUUUCAACUUAGAAACCAAGUGUAACGUGAAAAAUAAUAACCAAAUUACAAACUACAUGUUUUUAUCAUAUUAUCCGGUGUCAAUUUGUUGUCCCUAAUAUAACCUAUGUUAGUAUCUUGAAUAAAUUAAAUUUUGUCGUGAUGCUAACAAUUGAAUUACUUUUAAUAUGCUGAACCCUCAACGGCCCAACCUCUUUCUUUGUCUGCAGUAAUCUCUAUCAUUGUGUUUGUUAUUUGCCCAUUUUCAUAUGAAGGUAUUAGAUAUUGUCAUGUAGAAUAGGUAAUCUGAUUAAAUGUUGUGAUUGUUUUGUUCUCAAUUUGUCACUACAGGGCAAAUUUGUGUAGUGGUUUAAUAUGUAGAUAGAAACAUGAAUUUAUUUUUGAUGUGUUUAUGGUAGUGUAAUUGAUUUAUGUAACAUAACGUUACCAAUUAUUUCAUCGCAGGUUGUUUGUUACGCAAGACGUGCAUAAUAAUUUUGUUGCUGACUCUAAAAAUGAGAAUGCUGUUCAAAAUACAAAUAUAACGGGAGAAGAAGGGUUAGGAGAUGAGGGCUCGAUUGUGCCUGAGGUGGGUAUAUAGUUCACGGAUGAAAAAGCAAUGUUCGAGUUCUAUAAAAGAUAUACAUACGACAUAGGUUUUCCAGUUCGGAAGAGAAAUUCGAAAAAAUGGGAGGAUGGAGUUCUAAGAUAUAUGACCUUUACAUGUAGUCGUGAAGGUUGAAGAAGCACUAAUGUCGUUGGUUCAUUGAAGCCUCAACAAACAAUGCAGAUGGAUUGUAAAGCCAGGAUCUCUACUUCUUCAGAUGAUAAGGAACUUGGAGGAUCAACACAGCCCACCUCGAGCACAAUCAUACAACAAGCCCUUCAAAGUCUAGGUUUUACCGUUACAAUCGAAAAUUGUCAGCAUAUGUGAAAAGAAAGCUUGGAGUGAAUGACAUGGCCGGAAUUUCGCUGCUUUAAAGUUUCAAUUCCGUAGUCGUUGAAACUAGUAGAUAUGAGAAUUUGCCUUGUGUGGAAAAGGAUUGCUGGAAUUAUAUUGAGUAAGUGAGAUGAUUACGACUCAAAGAGGGUGAUGCAACCACAAUGCAAUCUUACUUAUCGAAAAUGCAAGUACGAUGUCCUGAAUUUUACUUCAGUAUGGAUUUAGAUGAUGAGUCGCAACUGAAGAACAUAUUUUGGGCUGAUAAUAGAUGCAGGCAGGCUUGUAAGGACUUCGACGAUGUUGUCACCUUUGACACCACUUAUCUUACCAAUAAAUACGACAUGCCUUUUGCUCCUUUUGUUGGAGUUAACCAUCAUGGUCAAUCAACACUGUUGGAUUGUGGUCUGUUAUCAAACAAGGACACAGAUACAUUUGUUUGGCUAUUCAGUACAUGGCUUGAGGGCAUGCAUGGUCAAGCCCCCAUGGAAUCAUUACAGACCAAGACAGGGCUAUGCAAAAUGGAAUUAAAAUCAUUUUUUCGAACACCAAUCAUAGAUGAUGUUUAUCGCACAUUUUGAAGAAAUUGCCGGAGAAGUUUGGGUAUCAUGUUGAUAAGGGAAACAUAUUUUCGGCUAUACAUAGAUUGAUGUAUGAUUCACAGACUGAUGAAGAAUUUGAAGAAGGUUGGGCAUUGAUGGUUGAUAAGUGUAUUUUAUACACUUAUUUGAUGCCUAAAAUAAUGAUGUUUAAUAGUUCUUUUGACAAAAUAUAUCCUAAAUUGUUAUAUUUUAUGUUUAAUAGGUAAAAUCUAGGGAUGGAAAAAGGAAUUGAAGGAAAGAAGCAAAAAUUGACGGAAAAUAGCAAAAUUCAAAGUAUGAGAACUACAUUGCAUUAACUUGAAAGAUUGGAUGGCUUGAUGGAAAUAAUAAAUUAAUUGGGCCCUAAGUGGACGUGGAAUUAGAGUCAAAUUGCAUAAUUAAUUGAGGUUUUAAUGGGAUUCCAACAGGAUUUGGGAGGCAGUCUAGAGUCCUUUUGAAAGUAAAUUAUUGGGCUGCUAGGUUAAUCUUGUGCUGGAGGAAUUAAAGGAGUAACCAAUAUAAAAACACGUGCAGACCUAGAAAAAAAAAGGAGAGAGCUGGUGGGAGAAAAUUGGACUCCAAUUUGGAGUCAAUUAUUGCGACUCUAACACGCAGAAAAUCGAGAGGAGGAAUAGAAGCUGUCAGCAGUUGUCAUUAUAUUUACACACACACAAAUAGACGGCAGCUUGGUAGGCAGAAUUGAGGAGACUCCAGCUGGGAUUACAAUUAAUUGGAAGUAGCAACUCUGAGAAGAAUAAUUACACGCCUGCUGGGUGCUGAAAUUAAUCUGAAAACACACAAAAAUUCGACCGACUAUUUGAGGAAUUAAUUGACAGUAACUUGGGUUCUCUCCAAAGUCAAUUAUUGCGGCUGUUAAGAGAUUGAAUUGGUAGCAGCAAGGCAGUGGACGGAUGGAUAGAAAAAAAGCAAACGGCAGAAUUACUUCGAAAAUUAUUAAUGUUCCGCCAAUUCCCGGUGAUGUCUUCCAUAAUUUCUCGUUUUUCUUCCAUUAUUAUGAGUAGUUAAAUUUGAUUUUAG
rnacentral:lncRNA from 1 species